CAAAGGCUUGGUCCUGACUUUACCAUCAGCUCUAGCCCAAUUUACACAUGCAAGUCUCCGCAAACCCGUGAGGAUGCCCUCAAUCCCCCGCCCGGGGACGAGGAGCAGGCAUCAGGCACUAAACCACAGCCCACGACGCCUUGCCACGCCACACCCCCAAGGGAAUUCAGCAGUGAUAGACAUUAAGCCAUAAGUGAAAACUUGACUUAGUCAGAGCUACAUAGGGCCGGUAAAACUCGUGCCAGCCACCGCGGUUAUACGAGAGGCCCCAGUUGAUGGACACGGCGUAAAGGGUGGUUAAGGUAAGAUUAAAAUAAGGCUAAAGGAUUUCUUGGCUGUCAUACGCCCCUGAGACCCCGAAACCCAAACACGAAAGUAGCUUUAACACAAGCCCACCUGACCCCACGAAAGCUGAGGAACAAACUGGGAUUAGAUACCCCACUAUGCUUAGCUAUAAACUUAGACGUUAAAUUACAACAAACGUCCGCCAGGGUACUACGAGCGUCAGCUUAAAACCCAAAGGACUUGGCGGUGCCUUAGACCCCCCUAGAGGAGCCUGUUCUAGAACCGAUAACCCCCGUUAAACCUCACCACUCCUAGUCAACCCCGCCUAUAUACCGCCGUCGUCAGCUUACCCUGUGAAGGACAUAUAGUAAGCAAAAUGGACAAAGUCCAAAACGUCAGGUCGAGGUGUAGCGAACGGAGUGGGAAGAAAUGGGCUACAUUUUCUGCCACAGAACAACACGAACAGCAUUAUGAAACUUAGUGCUCAAAGGAGGAUUUAGUAGUAAAAAGGAAAUAGAGUGUCCUUUUGAACCCGGCUCUGAGGCGCGUACACACCGCCCGUCACUCUCCCCGCCCCAAGCGAUAAAGGUAUUUAACACCAAAGCACAAACAAGGGGAGGCAAGUCGUAACAUGGUAAGUGUACCGGAAGGUGCACUUGGAUCAAAU
rnacentral:ncRNA from 1 species